rnacentral:tRNA from 1 species
UGUCCUGUGGUGUAAUGGUAGCACAGAAGAUUCUGGAUCUUUUAGUCAGGGUUCGAGUCCUUGCGGGACAA